rnacentral:rRNA from 1 species
GACAGAGGGGGCAAGCGUUGCUCGGAAUCACUGGGCGUAAAGGGCGCGUAGGCGGGAUGGCAAGUCGGUCGUGAAAUCUCUCGGCUCAACCGAGAAACGUCGGCCGAUACUGCCGUUCUUGAGGGAUGCAGAGGAGACUGGAAUUCCCGGUGUAGCGGUGAAAUGUGUAGAGAUCGGGAGGAACACCGGUGGCGAAGGCGGGUCUCUGGUCUGUAACUGACACUGAGGCGCGAAAGCGUGGGGAGCAAACAGG